CAUCUGGGACUGAACCUUUUCUCCCCAAAGCUGACUGUUCCUGAGUGGAGGAGCGCAUGCGUGAGGCCCUCCCCCAGCGCUGCCAUUGAGGAGCAUUUACUCAGUGAGUACAAGAGGUUUGUUUGAACCAGACCGCAAUGGAGAGAUCAGCGCCCAGGGAAGCGAGGGAACAGCAGGCUCCUUCCAGCAGCACAUCGGGAUGGGAGCCUGGGACACAGAGGGGACUCAGAGACCGGGACUGAUUCGGGGUGGUGUCCCUGUGUCUUCCUCCAGAAAAACACCUGAGGGACUAAGACGCUAUAAAACUUCCUCAGUUCAAAUCACAGAGUAACCAGCUGUCUCCAACAAACGGAAGGCAAGUACUCAAAGGACCAAGACAAUGUAAUAUUCCCUCAGUGCAGAGCCAAGUGUGACCAGCUGCUUUGAACAAACAGCAGAUGCUGCCAGACCUACUGAGUGUCUGAGGCAAUUUUGAGAGUGUUCAUGUCAGGUCUUCAGCUGCACUCCAAUGAAGAACAAGCAUGGAUCAUGGAUGAAGAACGGAUUACCUGGCACCGUGAGGUAGAUGGAAUUACUGGUCACAUUAGAUAUUAUUCCACUGGGACCCCUGUUGAUCACGAGACACUGGUACCAGCCUUUGUACUGGGACUGGAAGGAUUCAAUGGCCUUCUGUCCUGUCUGAGCUAGAGUUGUAAUUCCCGCUGGCAUUGUUUAAGGCUUUCUGUUGAAAGUAGGGUCCAGUACCUCGGCUCAGUACACAAUCUGAAACAAGACAACUCCCAAACAGAACCUCCAUUUUAAUGGCUCUUGGGGUGAGGAAAACCCCAGCAAUAGGAACUGAAACAAAACAAGACGAAGAGGAAAAGAAAGAAAGAUCGGACGCUGAAAUUGUCUCUCUUAUCACAAUGUUACCUUCGAUGACUGGAUAAUAAUUGAUGGAAAGGAGAAAUAAAACAAGCGAGAUUUCACAUCAUCACAAAGUCUCCCUAUGUUGUAAAAUCUACACUUUGAAAGAUUUCUGUUAACUAUGGAUGGCCAAAUGGUACAUCAGCCAACCAUGGCCUCUUGAUGUUCAAUGGUGUUACCAUCACUGUCCCCACCUCCACUCCACUAUCAACAUCCUGAAGUUUACCGUCACUGCCCCCACCCUCUUCCCAUGAUCAACAUCCUGAGGGUUACUGUUGGGAAAGUUGACAUGGUUUGCCUGGAAGCCAUUUUCCUAAUCUGGCUGAGAAACCAUUUUGUGUCCCCAGAACUUUGCUGGCUGUGCAUUCCUUACUCUUAGGAAGAUAAGGCCUAUCUUUCACGUUACCUAAGGUGUCAAGUUAGUGUUUUUACCACUUUGAUGAAUGAUUAGGGCAGGCUGUAGAACGAGUCAAGUGGACAAGUCAAUUAGUCCCACUUCCUUUAUGUGUUAUCGCCACUUCACGGUCGUUCAGCGAAUUAGGGACAUCUCUGCUUCCUGUUAGUAAUCUGAGUAAAUACUUGUGGAAUGCAUAAUGGUGCUUAGUUUUGACCCUAAUGACUAACCUCUAAUUUCGUACCAAACUGUGUAAUCAACAAUCAGCCUCUGUCUGCUUUCUCUAUAUAAUCCUGUCGUAUUCAGUGCUAUCUGAAUAGCAUCGAGCCACAGUUAGGAUGUUGAA